rnacentral:lncRNA from 1 species
ACUGAACUAGUUACAUAUGGUUUGCAUCAAUAGCUUCUUGCAUCUGCUCAUGUAUAACAGAGACAAUAACAUUCAUAUCUGCUUUUCUCACCAGUAUGUUCUCUAAAUACUUCUAUCAAAAUUAUGAACUUGCAAGAACUUUCCUGCAGAAACAAAGGAUUGCAGCGAAUGGAAUCAGUAGCUGGAGAAACUGGAUCAUAGUCUUCUGUCUGCAGUGGCUCCUGGCAAAGACCUUUCUUUUAAAUCCCUGAGGCGAUCAAAGUUUCUUCCAGGUUGGAAGUGACUU